UGUCCUUGUGACAUUGUUGUUUACCCAUUGAGGAACCAGUUAUAAGUCCCUGUGAGUUGGCAUCUGUUCCCAUGACAUGGAAGGGGUAGAGUGUAAGACCUCAUUGGUCACUCAUACCCAUUGCCUAGUGCAUUUAUUUGUUUAUGUGAGGAUUCAUUGUAAGUCCCUGUGAUGUGGCAUUUGUAUUCCUAGGAUCAUACUGUGGAGGUUAACAUAAGUCCAGAUAGAUUGGCAGUUGACUUCCCUGUUUUGUUUUUGUUUUAUUCUGAUGGAGAUUAGUGUAAGUCCAUAGAGUGGCUUCUGAUAUCCUUGCUUGUUUUAGGAGACAGGUAUAAGACCAUUGAGUGGCAUCCAGUAUCCGCUUUUAUUUACUUUCAUCUGUUACCAUGUUCAGAUUAUUACUCAUUGCUUAUUCCAAAGGACGCACUUGAGUCAUCUUCUAUAUGACUUCAAGAGGCG
rnacentral:lncRNA from 1 species